rnacentral:rRNA from 1 species
AUAACGGUCCUAAGGUAGCGAAAUUCCUUGUCAGGUAAGUUCUGACCCGCACGAAUGGCGUAAUGAUUUGGGCACUGUCUCAACAGCCCGCCCGGCGAAAUUGUAGUACUGGUGAAGAUGCCAGUUACCCGCAACUAGACGGAAAGACCCCAUGGAGCUUUACUGCAGCUUAAUACUGAAAUUCGGUAGUACAUGUACAGGAUAGGUGGGAGACUGAGAAAUACAGGCGUCAGCUUGUAUGGAGUCGCUGUUGGGAUACCACUCUUGUACUGCUGAGUUUCUAACCUGCGGCCGUGAAUCCGGUCGGGGGACACUGUUAGGCGGGCAGUUUGACUGGGGCGGUCGCCUCCCAAAAGGUAACGGAGGCGCUCAAAGGUUCGUUCAGCACGGACGGAAAUCGUGCAAUGAGUGUAAACGCAUAAACGAGCCUAACUGCGACACCGACGGGUGGAGCAGUAACGAAAGUUGGAGUUAGUGAUCCGGUGGUAUGUGAGUGGAAAUGCCAUCGCUCAACGGAUAAAAGCUACCCUGGGGAUAACAGGCUGAUCUCCCCCAAGCGUCCACAGCGACGGGGAGGUUUGGCACCUCGAUGUCGGCUCGUCGCAUCCUGGGGCUGAAUUCGGUCCCAAGGGUUUGGCUGUUCGCCAAUUAAAGCGGCACGCGAGCUGGGUUCAGAACGUCGUGAGACAGUUCGGUCCCUAUCUGUUGCGGGCGUAAGAGAUUUGAAGGGAGCUGUCCUUAGUACGAGAGGACCGGGAUGGACGUACCUCUGGUGCACCAGUUGUUCUGCCAAGGGCACAGCUGGGUAGCUAUGUACGGACGAGAUAAACGCUGAAAGCAUCUAAGCGUGAAACUCCCCCUAAGAUGAGAUCUCUCAUCCUUUAAGGAGUAAGGACCCAGAAAGACGAUCUGGUUGAUAGGCCGAAGGUGGAAGCGCAGUAAUGCGUGCAGCUGAUCGGUACUAAUAGUCCGAGGGCUUGACCU